rnacentral:rRNA from 1 species
CAGCAGCCCGGUAAUACAGAGGGUGCAAGCGUUAAUCGGAAUUACUGGGCGUAAAGCGCGCGUAGGUGGUUUGUUAAGUUGGAUGUGAAAGCCCCGGGCUCAACCUGGGAACUGCAUCCAAAACUGGCAAGCUAGAGUACGGUAGAGGGUGGUGGAAUUUCCUGUGUAGCGGUGAAAUGCGUAGAUAUAGGAAGGAACACCAGUGGCGAAGGCGACCACCUGGACUGAUACUGACACUGAGGUGCGAAAGCGUGGGGAGCAAACAGGAUUAGAUACCCCAGUAGUCCCUGUCUCUUAUACA